GCGACUGUAUAGCAAAUACACAGGGUUUAGUUAAAGAUGUUUAUAUUUUAGAGCUGAUAUGUGACCAGUAUUUAUAGGCUCAUCGAUGCCUCUACAAACGUUGGCCGUAACUAUAACGGUCCCAAGGUAGCAAAUUUCCUUGUCGUUUAAGUAACGACCUGCAUGAAGGAUGGAACGAUUCGAUAGCUGUCUUGCGUACAUGUGCUGGUGAAAUAUUAGGGAGUGUGAAGAUACGGUAACAACGUUAUGGGACAAAAAGACCCUGUGAAGCUUUAUAGGGAUAUAAUUUAGUACAGGUUCUAUAUUGGUAUAUCUUCAUUUCAAGGUAAAACAGUGAGAUACCAUUCAUUGAGAAUACGAUUAGCUAAUAUAACAAGCUGUGGAUCCUUUAGGCCAACCCUUACCACUACUUUUAGGUGUGAUGUGUGUGCCCAUAUAACAUGAGAGUGUGUAAUACGUGUGCUUUCCAUUAGAUCUCUAUUUAACCAUUUUAGAUACCCGUGUGAUAUUUUUUGAAACCACAUGUUAUAACACGUGUGAUGCAUUUAGGUGUGUGAUCUCUAUCUCUCUAUCUUAAAGUGGGUGCCUUAAUGUUGUGAAUAAUGUUAGAUGGGCUGUUUCAUUGGGGAGAUGACCUUCUUGAAUCGAACUAAAGGUUCACUAAGCUAUUGAUGUGGGCUUUGAUAAAGGACUAGUAAGUGCAAAGAUAGAUGUGUGGCUUAAUGGUAAAGCGUUUAAUCCAGUAUUUAAAUGGUGUCUUAGUGACCUUCAAAUGAAUUUAUCAGAUAAAAGCUACUCUAAGGAUAACAGGCUUCAUUUAUUGGAUAGCUCACAUUAACAAAAUGGUUUUGCACCUCGAUGUCGGCUUAUCUUUUCCAAAUGGAAAGCAAUCAAUCUGGAGUGGGAGUGCUCAUCCCAUAACAAGGUACGUGAGCUGGGUUCAGAACGAUGUAAAUCAGUUUGGUCUAUAUCUGUAACUUUAUAAAAUGGGAGUGUUGUUUGCUCAGUACGCAAGGACCG
rnacentral:rRNA from 14 species